rnacentral:rRNA from 1 species
AACGAACGCUGGCGGCAGGCUUAACACAUGCAAGUCGAACGCCCCGCCAGGGGAGUGGCCGACGGGUGAGUAACGCGUGGGAACAUACCCUUUUCUACGGAAUAGCUCUGGGAAACUGGAAUUAAUACCGUAUACGCCCUACGGGGGAAAGAUUUAUCGGGGAAGGAUUGGCCCGCGUUGGAUUAGCUAGUUGGUGGGGUAAAGGCCUACCAAGGCGACGAUCCAUAGCUGGUCUGAGAGGAUGAUCAGCCACAUUGGGACUGAGACACGGCCCAAACUCCUACGGGAGGCAGCAGUGGGGAAUAUUGGACUAUGGGCGCAAGCCUGAUCCAGCCAUGCCGCGUGAGUGAUGAAGGCCUUAGGGUUGUAAAGCUCUUUCACCGAUGAAGAUAAUGACGGUAGUCGGAGAAGAAGCCCCGGCUAACUUCGUG